rnacentral:rRNA from 1 species
CACGUAGGGGGCGAGCGUUGUCCGGAUUUAUUGGGCGUAAAGAGCUCGUAGGCGGCUCAGUAAGUCAGGUGUGAAAACUCCAGGCUCAACCUGGAGACGCCACUUGAUACUGCUGUGGCUAGAGUCCGGUAGGGGAGCAUGGAAUUCCUGGUGUAGCGGUGAAAUGCGCAGAUAUCAGGAGGAACACCGGUGGCGAAGGCGGCUUGCUGGGCCAGUUCUGACGCUGAGGCACGAAAGCGUGGGGAGCAAACAGG